rnacentral:lncRNA from 1 species
AUGCUUUGAUUGGUGCUUGUUGCAUAAUUUUAUUCAUUGCAUUACAUGUUUAAAUGAUUUUUGGUGCUUUGAAUUUUGUUUAUUUAAAAAUCAUUUUGAGGAAGAGGUGUUUUUAAAAAAUUUUUCUUUGAGAAAAGAGAUAAUUGAGAUUCAUGAUUUGGAGAGAGAAAAGGUGUUUGAACAGUGUUUAUCUUCACAAUCAUAUUAAGUUAAAUUCAUAUUAAUUAUCGUCUUUACUCCACUAUUUAUUAUUUUGACGAUAAUUUAUUAUAUGAUUUCUUAUAUCAUAAAUUCAUCAAAAUUUUGAAAUCAAAUUUAAUUUUUUGGUGAUUAAUUCAUCUUGGUUGUGAGUGUUGGAUAUGAUGGAUGGAUAUUCUCUAAUAGACUAAAAUUUGUCAAAUUAUUUUCAACUGUGAGAUUGUCUAAUUUAGGGGGAGUUUGAAAUUGUUUAAAAAUAAAAAAAAAGGAGAAAAAGAAACUCCUAUAUUCAAAAGAUGUGGAAAGAGUUACAUCCUAAAAGGAGUGUGAAAACUACCACCACAUGUAGGAAAGAGCUACCACCCCGGUCGUCCGGUAAGUGUGUGAAGCUACCACAUGAAGAUUGAAUUGAGUAACCGAAAAAGGUUGGAAAAAAAAUAAAUAUUUUAGAAUUUUCGGAGUUAUAAGGUGGUAAGAUAAAAAGAUGCUCAAAGAGCUACCCCCAGUAUCAUAUUAGUUAAAUCUCUAUUUUGAACGUGUUACGACAAAUUGGUGUCAAUUUUUGUUGAAUUUCUAAAAAUCAUUUUUCAUCAACUUACAUCUUGAUGGUUUUGAAUCAUUAAAUUAUUUUUGAUAAUGAAAUUUUGAUGUUUUGAUGUAUUUUGAAAUUUUAUAAUAUCUUAUUGUCAUUAUAAUGAUUCUUGGAGUAAAAGCCUUAAAUUAUUUGAAAUUAAUUUAAUUUGAUGGAUUUUUAAAGCAAAUUUUUCGAAAUCUGAGAUUCUUUGUCGAGCUUAGUCUCUUUCUUUCACUGCAUUUGAUGUUUAGGACGAUGUUUUUGAUUUGCUUGUUUAUCUUUCU